UUUGUUUCCAUGACAUCAUGACAUUGGUUAUAACACCACAAUUGUUUAGAAUAUAAGGCUUGUUUAGAAUGCAAGGCUUCCUCAAUUCUCCACCCUUCCCCUCUUGACAUCUUGCUCUUCUUCCCUUCAUCUAUUGUGUUAGUCAGGUGCAUGCUGGUCUUCCCUCUAUCAAACUGUAAGCUACUUGGAGACUUGGGAUGCCUCACUCAUCUCUAUUCCCAAACCUCAGGGUCUAUCAUUCUACCUUCUGUAUAGACAGGACUUUCAUAGUUUUGAACAAGUCAGAACCUGAAAGAAUUUGCUUCCAGAACAGGACAUUGACAGGAAAAUUAAGCAUGAUCAUGCCGAGUAAAAUAGGAAUAAGAAUUGGACCUACCUCAAGAUCUGUUGAGAAGAUUAUGAGAGAGCUGAUGGAUCUAAAAGAUUGGCGCUUGCUUUAACAACAACUGGUAAGAUCACUGAGCUGUAAACAGGACUCUGCACAUCCAAGCAACAGAGACUGCUUUCCUGCUGAGUUAUCCAUUUCCACACUACAGGAGAAUUAGUUUGAAGAGACCACCUGCUGUACACACGCGAUGCUUUAAAUAGACACAUCUGAACUAGAAGCUCUUGGUGUCUUAUAAUAAAGGAAAUUUGUGCUUUAGGAC
rnacentral:lncRNA from 1 species